GACGAACGCUGGCGGCGUGCUUAACACAUGCAAGUCGAACGGAAAGGCCCUGCUUUUGUGGGGUGCUCGAGUGGCGAACGGGUGAGUAACACGUGAGUAACCUGCCCUUGACUUUGGGAUAACUUCAGGAAACUGGGGCUAAUACCGGAUAGGAGCUCCUGCUGCAUGGUGGGGGUUGGAAAGUUUCGGCGGUUGGGGAUGGACUCGCGGCUUAUCAGCUUGUUGGUGGGGUAGUGGCUUACCAAGGCUUUGACGGGUAGCCGGCCUGAGAGGGUGACCGGCCACAUUGGGACUGAGAUACGGCCCAGACUCCUACGGGAGGCAGCAGUGGGGAAUAUUGCACAAUGGGCGGAAGCCUGAUGCAGCAACGCCGCGUGCGGGAUGACGGCCUUCGGGUUGUAAACCGCUUUCGCCUGUGACGAAGCGUGAGUGACGGUAAUGGGUAAAGAAGCACCGGCUAACUACGUGCCAGCAGCCGCGGUGAUACGUAGGGUGCGAGCGUUGUCCGGAUUUAUUGGGCGUAAAGGGCUCGUAGGUGGUUGAUCGCGUCGGAAGUGUAAUCUUGGGGCUUAACCCUGAGCGUGCUUUCGAUACGGGUUGACUUGAGGAAGGUAGGGGAGAAUGGAAUUCCUGGUGGAGCGGUGGAAUGCGCAGAUAUCAGGAGGAACACCAGUGGCGAAGGCGGUUCUCUGGGCCUUUCCUGACGCUGAGGAGCGAAAGCGUGGGGAGCGAACAGGCUUAGAUACCCUGGUAGUCCACGCUGUAAACGGUGGGUACUAGGUGUGGGGUCCAUUCCACGGGUUCCGUGCCGUAGCUAACGCUUUAAGUACCCCGCCUGGGGAGUACGGCCGCAAGGCUAAAACUCAAAGGAAUUGACGGGGCCCCGAACAAGCGGCGGAGCAUGCGGAUUAAUUCGAUGCAACGCGUAGAACCUUACCUGGGUUUGACAUGGAUCGGGAGUGCUCAGAGAUGGGUGUGCCUCUUUUGGGGUCGGUUCACAGGUGGUGCAUGGCUGUCGUCAGCUCGUGUCGUGAGAUGUUGGGUUAAGUCCCGCAACGAGCGCAACCCUUGUUCACUGUUGCCAGCACGUUAUGGUGGGGACUCAGUGGAGACCGCCGGGGUCAACUCGGAGGAAGGUGGGGAUGACGUCAAGUCAUCAUGCCCCUUAUGUCCAGGGCUUCACGCAUGCUACAAUGGCUGGUACAGAGAGUGGCGAGCCUGUGAGGGUGAGCGAAUCUCGGAAAGCCGGUCUCAGUUCGGAUUGGGGUCUGCAACUCGACCUCAUGAAGUCGGAGUCGCUAGUAAUCGCAGAUCAGCAACGCUGCGGUGAAUACGUUCCCGAAGCG
rnacentral:rRNA from 1 species